rnacentral:lncRNA from 1 species
CAAAUCCAAAACCACUCAUCCCUUAAAAAAAAAAAAUUUGGGUAGCCGAAAAGGAAAACAAAGAAUACCAAUCCCUAGAAAGUAAAGGAAAAUGCUCCUCUACCAGUGCACCAGCAAAACUUCCGACGAGAAAUCUGAUUACCCCACUACAGGUUCGGCCUCUUUGUUUUCUUCUUAUGGCUGUUGCGACGUUGCUGGUUGCUCAUUUGAAGUCUGAUAUCCGUCUGCUGCUGAAAACUAUACGAAAUGCUUCCUCUUAAACCCCUUCCCCUAACACUGUCCCUUAACAAGGUAUUCAUACUACUGUGCACCCACUGCCUCACCUAUGUCAUAUUUAUGUUUUUCCAUAUUGCUGCCUGAUAGAAUGAAAUGAAUGAGGGUUUUUUUUUGUCACUUUGGGUCACUGAAUCAAAUAGUACAUUCCCAUAUUUGUUUUUGUUUAGAUGAGGAGUACAUAUAUAAAAG